rfam:Bacteroidetes bacterium GWA2_30_7 gwa2_scaffold_15305, whole genome shotgun sequence.
AAAAAGUGGAGUCCAGCUCCCACUCAAAAAAACGGGGUGUAACCGAAAAACCUAAAGAGUAGGAAAACA